UAUCAGGCUCAUUUGGAGAUUGUUUACAGAAUCCAGUAUUAAGUCCACAAAAAGUUAUCUGGGUCCCACAUCCCCUACGUUGAAAUGAAGAAAACAAGAACUCUGAAGAUACUUUUUAUCUGGAAGAGACCCAAGUUCACAUCUCAGUCGUCCUAACUAUCUUGAAGAGAACUUAACAAAAGAUCAACCACGGCAUAUAAUUGCUUCUUUGUUCUGUGUGGAGAAACAAUCAGAUUAUAAAUUGUGAAGGAAACAAAGACAUCUUGCUACCUGAGUUGAAAUGAAGAAUACAGAAAGAAAUUAAAAUGACUGUGGACCAAGGAAAACAGCCUUGUAGUAGAAAGGCCUGUGUGCCUUGUGGAGUGGUAAAGGAGGUAGCAGGGAUAGAAGGGGGAGCUAUAUAACUAAAUUUCUGCUUCUGCAUUUUAAGCAUAGCUCAAAAGAACUUGAUUUUGCUUCCAUCGCUUAGAGAAGAGAUACGCAAUAUAUACUAAAUGCAGUAGGCUACCACAGAUACAGACCUAAUACAAUUAAACAUGACCUAUUAUUAAAUGCUAUUGA